CAUCAGACUGUUAAACAGCUUCUAUCUCCAGGCCAUCAGACUGUUAAACAGCUUCUAUCUCCAGGCCAUCAGACUGUUAAACAGCUUCUAUCUCCAGGCCAUCAGACUGUUAAACAGCUUCUAUCUCCAGACCAUCAGACUGUUAAACAGCUUCUAUCUCCAGGCCAUCAGACUGUUAAACAGCUUCUAUCUCCAGACCAUCAGACUGUUAAACAGCUUCUAUCUCCAGACCAUCAGACUGAUAAACAGCUUCUAUCUCCAGGCCGUCAGACUGUUAAACAGCUUCUAUCUCCAGGCCGUCAGACUGUUAAACAGCUUCUAUCUCCAGACCAUCAGACUGAUAAACAGCUUCUAUCUCCAGACCAUCAGACUGAUAAACAGCUUCUAUCUCCAGGCCGUCAGACUGGUAAACAGCUUCUAUC
rnacentral:lncRNA from 1 species